UACGGAGGGCGCGAGCGUUAAUCGGAAUUACUGGGCGUAAAGCGCGCGUAGGCUGUUGUGUAAGUUGGGGGUGAAAUCCCACGGCUCAACCGUGGAACAGCCCUUGAUACUGCGCGACUUGAAUCCGGGAGGGGGUGGCGGAAUUCCAGGUGUAGGAGUGAAAUCCGUAGAUAUCUGGAGGAACAUCAGUGGCGAAGGCGGCCACCUGGACCGGUAUUGACGCUGAGGCGCGAAAGCGUGGGGAGCAAGCAGG
rnacentral:rRNA from 1 species